UACGUAGGGUGCAAGCGUUAAUCGGAAUUACUGGGCGUAAAGCGUACGUAGGCGGAUUGUUAAGUGAGGGGUGAAAUCCCGAGGCUCAACCUCGGAACUGCCUUUCAUACUGGCAAUCUUGAGUCCGGGAGAGGUGAGUGGAACUCCUAGUGUAGAGGUGAAAUUCGUAGAUAUUAGGAAGAACACCAGUGGCGAAGGCGGCUCACUGGCCCGGAACUGACGCUGAGGUACGAAAGCGUGGGGAGCAAACAGGG
rnacentral:rRNA from 1 species